UUUACCAUAAAAAGGAGAGAUGGUUAGCAUUUCCCUUGACAAGUACGGAAGAGAUCGAGCAAUCUUUCUAACACAGGCACAGGUGCGGCUGUGUGGUAAGAAGCUUGCUUCCCAACCACAUGGUUUC
rnacentral:ncRNA from 1 species